rnacentral:rRNA from 1 species
AUUGAACGCUGGCGGCAGGCCUAACACAUGCAAGUCGAACGGUAACAGGAAGAAGCUUGCUUCUUUGCUGACGAGUGGCGGACGGGUGAGUAAUGUCUGGGAAACUGCCUGAUGGAUGGGGAUAACUACUGGAAACGGUAGCUAAUACCGCAUAACGUCGCAAGACCAAAGAGGGGGACCUUCGGGCCUCUUGCCAUCGGAUGUGCCCAGAUGGGAUUAGCUAGUAGGUGGGGUAACGGCUCACCUAGGCGACGAUCCCUAGCUGGUCUGAGAGGAUGACCAGCCACACUGGAACUGAGACACGGUCCAGACUCCUACGGGAGGCAGCAGUGGGGAAUAUUGCACAAUGGGCGCAAGCCUGAUGCAGCCAUGCCGCGUGUAUGAAGAAGGCCUUCGGGUUGUAAAGUACUUUCAGCGGGGAGGAAGGGAGUAAAGUUAAUACCUUUGCUCAUUGACGUUACCCGCAGAAGAAGCACCGGCUAACUCCGUG